rnacentral:rRNA from 1 species
CCCUUAGAUGUUCUGGGCUGCACGCGCGCUACACUGAAGCUAUCAACACGUUUUCCCUCCCUGAGAAGGGCGGGUAACCUUUUGAAUCAGCUUCGUGGUAGGGAUCGGGGCUUGCAAUUGUUCCCCGUGAACCAGGAAUUCCUAGUAGACGCGAGUCAUAAGCUCGCAUCGAUUAAGUCCCUGCCCUUUGUACGCACCGCCCGUCGCUACUACCGAUUGAACGUUUUAGUGAGGCAUUUGGACCGACGCAUCUCAGUUUAACCGCUGGUUUGUGUUGGAAAGACUUCCAAACUUGAGCGUUUAGAGGAAGUAAAAGUCGUAACA